rnacentral:lncRNA from 1 species
AAUCAAAGAGCUGAUAGGUCUGAGGUGGAAGAAGGUGAAUAAAAGGUUAUUUGAAUUACCAUAAAAGCAGCCCCAAUAACCCAGCCUGCUUUGUUCCAUUAUCGUUAUGACGUAUUUGUUUUCUUCAAACAAGAAUGUGUCAUAAGUACAUGGAUUUCCAAUUCGUACAAUCAUUUUCUACGUUCAAUGGACCUGUUUGUUGGUCUUUGUGAAUAAAAGAAUAGUACAUUGUGUUUUAAAUGAUUAAUUGAAUAAAAAAAA